rnacentral:rRNA from 1 species
GAUGAACGCUGGCGGCGUGCCUAAUACAUGCAAGUCGAGCGAACAGACGAGGAGCUUGCUCCUCUGACGUUAGCGGCGGACGGGUGAGUAACACGUGGAUAACCUACCUAUAAGACUGGGAUAACUUCGGGAAACCGGAGCUAAUACCGGAUAAUAUAUUGAACCGCAUGGUUCAAUAGUGAAAGACGGUUUUGCUGUCACUUAUAGAUGGAUCCGCGCCGCAUUAGCUAGUUGGUAAGGUAACGGCUUACCAAGGCAACGAUGCGUAGCCGACCUGAGAGGGUGAUCGGCCACACUGGAACUGAGACACGGUCCAGACUCCUACGGGAGGCAGCAGUAGGGAAGCUUCCGCAAUGGGCGAAAGCCUGACGGAGCAACGCAGCGUGAGUGAUGAAGGUCUUCGGAUCGUAAAACUCUGUUAUUAGGGAAGAACAAAUGUGUAAGUAACGAUGCACGUCUGGACGGUACCUAAUCAGAAACCACGGCUAACUACGUG